rnacentral:rRNA from 1 species
GACGAAGGUGGCUAGCGUUGUUCGGAAUCACUGGGCUUAAAGAGCACGUAGGCGGCCUGUUAAGCACUUUGUGAAAUCCCUCGGCUUAACCGGGGAAUUGCUUGGUGUACUGGCAGGCUUGAGGCAAGUAAGGGCGCGUGGAACUCUUGGUGGAGCGGUGAAAUGCGUAGAUAUCAAGAGGAACGCCGGAGGCGAAAGCGAUGCGCUGGGCUUGUCCUGACGCUGAGGUGCGAAAGCCAGGGGAGCAAACGGG